rnacentral:rRNA from 1 species
AAUCAACGCUGGCGGCGUGCCUCAGACAUGCGAAGUCGAACGAUUAAAGCUCUCUUCGGAGAGUGCAUAGAGUGGCGCACGGGUGAGUAACACGUAAGUAAUCUACCUUCGAGUGGGGAAUAACAUCGGGAAACCGAUGCUAAUACCGCAUAAUGCAGUCGGCAUCAUAAGAUGACAGUUGUUAAAGAUUUAUCGCUUGAAG